GUGCGGCGCAGACCUACUCACCAUUCCCCGAUAUGUGGUUGUCCCAAGGAGCUUGUCCCCCGGGCCUCGUGGCGCCGCUGAGUUGGAGCACUACUGGGCCUGAAGUCAGCAGCUGAGUGAGUCGAUGGGAAAGGAGACAAUUCUCUGUCCUCAUCUGGAUGACUUCAGCUCCUCCAGCUCAGAGGAACCCGUUCCAGGCAGCUGCUCCCCUGAUUCAGAUGGAAGCCCCUGGAUCAAGCUCUGCAAACAAAUCGAGACAUGUGCAUGUUUCCCCCCUAUUGUAGCAGCAAGAAACGUAAUGAAAAUUUCUGUCAGAGGCAAUUAGUUACAUUCGAGAGGCGGGACAUCUCUGACUUCAGCAAAUGCGUAAUGGAAACAUACUCUGGAGAGGAGGCAUCAACUUCCUGGGACAUGAGGCAUCAAAGAACCAUAAAUCCAGAGCUAAAAGGGACUUCAGAAGCUAUUUGAUCCAGUCUCCUCAAUUUACAGAUGAAGAAACUGAGGCUCUGAGA